rnacentral:misc_RNA from 1 species
GAUGAAGAACGUAGCGAAAUGCGAUACGUAAUGUGAAUUGCAAAUUCAGUGAAUCAUCGAGUCUUUGAACGCACAUUGCGCCCCCUGGUAUUCCGGGGGGCAUGCCUGUCCGAGCGUCAUUACUGCCCUCAAGCCCGGCUUGUGUGUUGGGCCCCGUCCUCCGAUCCCGGGGGACGGGCCCGAAAGGCAGCGGCGGCACCGCGUCCGGUCCUCGAGCGUAUGGGGCUUUGUCACCCGCUCUGUAGGCCCGGCCGGCGCUUGCCGAUCAACCCCAAUUUUUUAUAGGUUGACCUCGGAUCAGGUAGGGAUACCCGCUGAACUUAAGCAUAUCAAUAAGCGGAGGA